AGUUGACGUGAAAUUUUAUUGGUUAGGUUUAUCUUUUUUUCGAGGUGAAAUUUGUUUAAAGAGAUAAGAUUACUGUCUAAAUUUAUAGGAACUAAAAAAUUUAGAUUAAAAACCAGGAUUAGAUACCCUGUUAUUCUAAAUUAUAGUUAAAUAGGGUAGUAAAAGUUGUUCUUCAAACCCAAAGAUUUUGGCGGCAUUUUAUCCAAAUAGAGGAGCUUGUCCCGUAAUCGAUAGUCCUCGUUUUAUCUUACCCCCUUUUGUUUAGCUUGUAUACCGCCGUUGUCAGAUUACUCUCUAAGGAUGUUUUCAAAAAAUUAGUUCUUAUGACUUCAGGUCAAGGUGCAGUUUAUAAGGGGGUGGAGAUGAGCUACAAUUUUGUCUAGAAAUACGGAAGCUAUAUUUUAAAGUUAGUGGAAGGUGGAUUUAUUAGUAAAUUAUUUUAAUUAAA
rnacentral:rRNA from 1 species